rnacentral:rRNA from 1 species
AUUGAACGCUGGCGGCAUGCUUUACACAUGCAAGUCGAACGGUAACAGGCCUUCGGGUGCUGACGAGUGGCGAACGGGUGAGUAAUGCAUCGGAACGUGCCCAAUCGUGGGGGAUAACGUAGCGAAAGUUACGCUAAUACCGCAUAAGCCCUGAGGGGGAAAGUGGGGGACCGCAAGGCCUCACGCGAAUGGAGCGGCCGAUGUCAGAUUAGCUAGUUGGUGGGGUAAAGGCUCACCAAGGCGACGAUCUGUAGCGGGUCUGAGAGGAUGAUCCGCCACACUGGGACUGAGACACGGCCCAGACUCCUACGGGAGGCAGCAGUGGGGAAUUUUGGACAAUGGGCGCAAGCCUGAUCCAGCCAUGCCGCGUGCGGGACGAAGGCCUCGGUUGU